UAUAUCACAUGUAAAUUGUUCAUCUAAAAGUGAAUGAUUGGAGACAUUAAAAUUAAUAACCCCCAAACUAUUCUCAAACUUUAAAUAGGUAAGGCAUUAAGAUUGCUCCAAUGAACCCUAGCUAUGCAAUUGAAGCUCCAAGAAUGGAUGCAAAAUGAACCAAAAACUCCCAAAGUGUGUGCUAACUCGUAUCUCACAAGAUUAAAAUAAUAAAAUAGUGGUCAUAGAAGUCAAAAUUCUCUAAGGAGUGUGUAGCAACUCAUUUAUCAAAUCAAUUUGCCAUAAAAAUGAAUGGUGUUCAAGUGUGUUACCUCUGCCAGUCACUAUUGUAGUGAUUG
rnacentral:ncRNA from 1 species